UACGGGGGGGGCAAGCGUUGUUCGGAAUUACUGGGCGUAAAGGGUUCGUAGGUGGCUUGUUAAGUCAGACGUGAAAUCCCUCGGCUCAACCGGGGAACUGCGUCUGAGACUGAUGAGCUCGAGUGCAGGAGAGGAACGCGGAAUUCCAGGUGUAGCGGUGAAAUGCGUAGAUAUCUGGAGGAACACCGGUGGCGAAGGCGGCGUUCUGGACUGCAACUGACACUGAGGAGCGAAAGCGUGGGGAGCGAACAGG
rnacentral:rRNA from 1 species